UUGGCUUCUUCGAAGAUCUUUGUACUUUUCACCCUGUAGUAUGAUGAUUCAAAGCGAAGCCUAAAUUGAUAUUUAUAUGUCAUAUGCAGUUUUUGUGAGUAGUAAAAUCUUCUCCAAACAAAAACGGAAUAUAC